rnacentral:snRNA from 1 species
GAGCUCACUUCGGCAGCACACAUACUAAAAUUGGAACGAUACAGAGAAGAUUAGCGUGGCCCCUGCGCAAGGAUGACACGCAAAUUCGUGAAGCAUUCCAUAUUUUU